rnacentral:rRNA from 1 species
AGCGAACGCUGGCGGCAGGCCUAACACAUGCAAGUCGAACGAACCUUUCGGGGUUAGUGGCGGACGGGUGAGUAACACGUGGGAACGUGCCCUUAGGUUCGGCAUAACUCAGGGAAACUUGUGCUAAUACCGAAUGUGCCCUUCGGGGGAAAGAUUUAUCGCCUUUAGAGCGGCCCGCGUCUGAUUAGCUAGUUGGUUGAGGUAAUGGCUCACCAAGGCGACGUUCAGUAGCUGGUAUGAGAGGAUGUUCAGCCACAUUGGGACUGAGACACGGCCCAAACUCCUACGGGAUGCAGCAGUGGGGAAUCUUGCGCAAUGGGCUAAAGCCUGACGCAGCCAUGCCGCGUGAAUGAUGAAGGUCUUAGGAUUGUAAAAUUCUUUCACCUGGGACGAUAAUGACGGUACCCGGAGAAGAAGCCCCGGCUAACUUCGUG